rnacentral:rRNA from 1 species
AGAACGAACGCUGGCGGCAGGCCUCAAACAUGCAAGUCUAGGGGGUGCAGCAAUGCAUCACCGGCGGACGGGUGCGUAACGCGUGGGAAUAUACCUAUUGGUUCGGAACAACUGCGGGAAACUGCAGCUAAUACCGAAUGUGCCCGAAAGGGGAAAGAUUCAUCGCCAAUGGAUUAGCCCGCGUAGGAUUAGCUAGUUGGUGGGGUAAAGGCUCACCAAGGCUCCGAUCCUUAGCUGUUCUGAGAGGAAGAUCAGCCACACUGGGACUGAGACACGGCCCAGACUCCUACGGGAGGCAGCAGUUGGGAAUCUUGGACAAUGGGGGAAACCCUGAUCCAGCCAUGCCGCGUGAGUGAUGAAGGCCUUCGGGUUGUAAAACUCUUUCGACGGGGACGAUAAUGACGGUACCCGUAGAAGAAGCUCCGGCUAACUUCGUGCCAGCAGCCGC